GGUCAAGUGAAGAAGCGCAUACGGUGGAUGCCUUGGCAGUCAGAGGCGAUGAAAGACGUGGUAGCCUGCGAAAAGCUUCGGGGAGUCGGCAAACAGACUUUGAUCCGGAGAUCUCUGAAUGGGGGAACCCACCUAGGAUAACCUAGGUAUCUUGUACUGAAUCCAUAGGUGCAAGAGGCGAACCAGGGGAACUGAAACAUCUAAGUACCCUGAGGAAAAGAAAUCAACCGAGAUUCCCUUAGUAGUGGCGAGCGAACGGGGAUUAGCCCUUAAGCUUCAUUGAUUUUAGCGGAACGCUCUGGAAAGUGCGGCCAUAGUGGGUGAUAGCCCCGUACGCGAAAGGAUCUUUGAAGUGAAAUCGAGUAGGACGGAGCACGAGAAACUUUGUCUGAACAUGGGGGGACCAUCCUCCAAGGCUAAAUACUACUGACUGACCGAUAGUGAACCAGUACCGUGAGGGAAAGGCGAAAAGAACCCCGGAGAGGGGAGUGAAAUAGAACCUGAAACCGUAUGCGUACAAGCAGUGGGAGCCUACUUGUUAGGUGACUGCGUACCUUUUGUAUAAUGGGUCAGCGACUUAUAUUCAGUGGCAAGCUUAACCGUAUAGGGUAGGCGUAGCGAAAGCGAGUCUUAAUAGGGCGUUUAGUCGCUGGGUAUAGACCCGAAACCGGGCGAUCUAUCCAUGAGCAGGUUGAAGGUUAGGUAACACUGACUGGAGGACCGAACCCACUCCCGUUGAAAAGGUAGGGGAUGACUUGUGGAUCGGAGUGAAAGGCUAAUCAAGCUCGGAGAUAGCUGGUUCUCCUCGAAAGCUAUUUAGGUAGCGCCUCAUGUAUCACUCUGGGGGGUAGAGCACUGUUUCGGCUAGGGGGUCAUCCCGACUUACCAAACCGAUGCAAACUCCGAAUACCCAGAAGUGCCGAGCAUGGGAGACACACGGCGGGUGCUAACGUCCGUCGUGAAAAGGGAAACAACCCAGACCGCCAGCUAAGGUCCCAAAGUUGUGGUUAAGUGGUAAACGAUGUGGGAAGGCUUAGACAGCUAGGAGGUUGGCUUAGAAGCAGCCAUCCUUUAAAGAAAGCGUAAUAGCUCACUAGUCGAGUCGGCCUGCGCGGAAGAUGUAACGGGGCUCAAACCACACACCGAAGCUGCGGGUGUCACGUAAGUGACGCGGUAGAGGAGCGUUCUGUAAGCCUGUGAAGGUGAGUUGAGAAGCUUGCUGGAGGUAUCAGAAGUGCGAAUGCUGACAUGAGUAACGACAAUGGGUGUGAAAAACACCCACGCCGAAAGACCAAGGGUUCCUGCGCAACGUUAAUCGACGCAGGGUUAGUCGGUUCCUAAGGCGAGGCUGAAAAGCGUAGUCGAUGGGAAACAGGUUAAUAUUCCUGUACUUCUGGUUACUGCGAUGGAGGGACGGAGAAGGCUAGGCCAGCUUGGCGUUGGUUGUCCAAGUUUAAGGUGGUAGGCUGAAAUCUUAGGUAAAUCCGGGGUUUCAAGGCCGAGAGCUGAUGACGAGUCGUCUUUUAGAUGACGAAGUGGUUGAUGCCAUGCUUCCAAGAAAAGCUUCUAAGCUUCAGGUAACCAGGAACCGUACCCCAAACCGACACAGGUGGUCGGGUAGAGAAUACCAAGGCGCUUGAGAGAACUCGGGUGAAGGAACUAGGCAAAAUGGCACCGUAACUUCGGGAGAAGGUGCGCCGGCUAGGGUGAAGGAUUUACUCCGUAAGCUCUGGCUGGUCGAAGAUACCAGGCCGCUGCGACUGUUUAUUAAAAACACAGCACUCUGCAAACACGAAAGUGGACGUAUAGGGUGUGACGCCUGCCCGGUGCCGGAAGGUUAAUUGAUGGGGUUAGCGCAAGCGAAGCUCUUGAUCGAAGCCCCGGUAAACGGCGGCCGUAACUAUAACGGUCCUAAGGUAGCGAAAUUCCUUGUCGGGUAAGUUCCGACCUGCACGAAUGGCGUAACGAUGGCGGCGCUGUCUCCACCCGAGACUCAGUGAAAUUGAAAUCGCUGUGAAGAUGCAGUGUAUCCGCGGCUAGACGGAAAGACCCCGUGAACCUUUACUGUAGCUUUGCACUGGACUUUGAGCCUGCUUGUGUAGGAUAGGUGGGAGGCUUUGAAGCGUGGACGCCAGUUCGCGUGGAGCCAUCCUUGAAAUACCACCCUGGCAUGCUUGAGGUUCUAACUCUGGUCCGUGAUCCGGAUCGAGGACAGUGUAUGGUGGGCAGUUUGACUGGGGCGGUCUCCUCCUAAAGAGUAACGGAGGAGUACGAAGGUGCGCUCAGACCGGUCGGAAAUCGGUCGCAGAGUAUAAAGGCAAAAGCGCGCUUGACUGCGAGACAGACACGUCGAGCAGGUACGAAAGUAGGUCUUAGUGAUCCGGUGGUUCUGUAUGGAAGGGCCAUCGCUCAACGGAUAAAAGGUACUCCGGGGAUAACAGGCUGAUACCGCCCAAGAGUUCAUAUCGACGGCGGUGUUUGGCACCUCGAUGUCGGCUCAUCACAUCCUGGGGCUGAAGCCGGUCCCAAGGGUAUGGCUGUUCGCCAUUUAAAGUGGUACGCGAGCUGGGUUUAGAACGUCGUGAGACAGUUCGGUCCCUAUCUGCCGUGGACGUUUGAGAUUUGAGAGGGGCUGCUCCUAGUACGAGAGGACCGGAGUGGACGAACCUCUGGUGUUCCGGUUGUCACGCCAGUGGCAUUGCCGGGUAGCUAUGUUCGGAAAAGAUAACCGCUGAAAGCAUCUAAGCGGGAAACUUGCCUCAAGAUGAGAUCUCACUGGGAACUUGAUUCCCCUGAAGGGCCGUCGAAGACUACGACGUUGAUAGGCUGGGUGUGUAAGCGUUGUGAGGC
rnacentral:rRNA from 1 species